CGAGGUCCCCUAGUCUCCUCCUCCCGGUGCACACGGGCCCGUGGCCCGUGGCUGUUGGAGCUGCAGCGUGGUGCCAGCGCCCUGGACCCCCGCCGCAUCGCCCCCAGCUUCCUCUCCCGGGGUACUGAGCUGGCCGACUUUCAGGAGUCUCGGGAGCAACUCGGCCUCCUGGUUGCUGUUACCGCGACGAUAGCAGAGGCAUGAUGCGACGAUCGAUUGACUGACAUCCACAAGAGUCAUUUUCUCUUUUCCGUCUUCUGCACUGUUAGCAGAACGAUUCUGCACACUCCAUAGCAUCCGAAUAGAUGGGUCUCGAUGGACCGCGACUGGAAUUGACAGACCCACCCGUCCACAUUGUAUAGUCACCAGAGGAUCAACUCGAGAUCAUACAGACUCACUUAGACUUGAUAAGGAUUGGGGAUUCUGGUUGGAAACAAUGGACUCGCUGUUUGAGAUGGUGACGGAGAACUGUUACGAUAGAAUAUUGAGGUUUUAAUUGACAAAAGAUAAUAGUUGGACAGUGAAACUAAGUCCUUAUGAAAUAAGAGAGAAAAUAGGGUGAUAGAAUAAGAAAAGGUCGAUGAAGGGAGAAUAUGGUAGGCUACAUAUGAGAACUGAUAGUCACUUCCCCCUCAAGUUUCAGAGUUUAUUAGCCAUGUGCACAGGAUACAACAGGUGUAAAACAUUAGUGAAAUUUUUACUUUGAUCUCUUUUCCAACAAUGCAGUGAUAAUAUAAUUUUUUUUUUUAAACUACAAGAAUGUAAGUGUGUGUACACAAAUGUUAAUCAUACAAAUGUCCAGUUGUCAAUAGUUUCCCAUAUUGGGAUAACAUAAGAUGGCAAUCAUGGUAAAUGUAUGCUAGAAUCUGUGGCAGUGAGGAAAUUAAAAGUGCAAUUAUGUUUGAAAUGUAGUUUUUCUAUUCAUGUCACUAGCUGGCAGCAUUGAAGUAUGGACAUAAAUUCACGGACAGCUCGAUCGAUACUCUCCACGCAUGAAGGAGAUCUUUUGACACAAAGGUGGAGCGGCUGGAAGAAAGACAUCUCAUGGUUGGCCAUCUCCAAGGAUGACACAAUUACAUACAAGACGAGCAUGUGUCAUCAAGUCCUUGAGCACCUUCCUGAACGAAGACCAUGAGAAACUUGUGACGGAAUAUCUGGUGAGUUACUACAUACACUGAUGUUACUUCCUUCCCUAGUUCUCCAAUGAAUGCUUUCA
rnacentral:lncRNA from 1 species